CGGUGGAGUAUGUUGGUUUAAUUCGAUGCAACGCGAAGAACCUUACCUGGUCUUGACAUCCCGGAGACCCUUAGGAAACUAGGGGGUGCUUCCAUCUGGAAGAAUCUGGAGACAGGUGCUGCAUGGCUGUCGUCAGCUCGUGUCGUGAGAUGUUGGGUUAAGUCCCGCAACGAGCGCAACCCUUGCCUUUUAGUUGCCAGCAGUUCGGCUGGGCACUCUAAAGGGACUGCCGGUGUUAAACCGGAGGAAGGUGGGGAUGACGUCAAGUCCUCAUGGCCUUUAUGACCAGGGCUACACACGUACUACAAUGGCCGAUACAAAGGGCAGCGACACUGCGAGGUGAAGCCAAUCCCGUAAAAUCGGUCUCAGUCCGGAUUGGAGUCUGCAACUCGACUCCAUGAAGUUGGAAUCGCUAGUAAUCGUGGAUCAGCAUGCCACGGUGAAUACGUUCCCGGGCCUU
rnacentral:rRNA from 1 species